UUUUAUAACAUUUAUUAAUUUAUAUUAAUUAAUUACUGUUAAUUAAUUUAUUAAUAAUCUCUUGGAGUAGAGGAAAAACAGUAAGAAGGAAAAAAAAAAUUUUUAAGCCUGAGUAAAGAGAAGUAUUUCCCGACUAUCCUCAGAAGAGAGAAGAGGAGGUGGGGUCACAGCAUCUUUAUCUCCCAAUCCUAAGGACCUAACGUGAGGGUGAAAGUGGGAUUCUGGGAAAUGGAGUCCUGGGGCACAAAAUUCUAAUGUCACGGGGAGAGCAAGUACAAAGGCACAUAGAUGGAAUAUGCAGUAUUUCCGUGUUGAGAAAAGCAGUCAGCCAUCAGCUUGGGCUCUCCCCUCCUGGUUAGACUUUCAGGAUCACAGAUUCGGAGCUGGGAGUGAUCCUCGAGGCAGUCUAGUACAAUCCCUGUAUUUUACAGCUGUACCAAGAUCAUAGAUCGUGAAAGAGCAGAGUCAGGCUCUACAUGUAGAUUCUCUAACUCCGUACCGUCUGUGGGUUUUGUCCAACGAGGCAGGGAAGGGGGUACCCCUGGGGAGCAGUCAGAAGCGUAAGGGUAGGGAUGGGUCGCUCAGCAACGGGACCAACUUUGAAGUGAGGGUUUUUUUCCCCCUUAAGGACACUCAGGGCCCAGACUUUGGCUUUCUCCAGCUGGCAAGAACAUGUCCACUGCCUUUAGGGUUUUUACCUCAUGUCAACACCUUCCUUACAGGAUAAAGAUGGCCCCUGCAUAGUCCCCUCACUCCUUGCCUCCCUGCCCUCUCUCCCAAAGGUUUAAGGAACGACAGGAUGUUCCUUCGUGAAUUAGGGUACUUUCCCCAGAUAUGAGACUGAAGAUGGAGGCCCAAUUCCAGACAACCAGAGCCUCAGACUGGCAGAUGAUACUUGGAGGGGUGGGGAGUGGGGGGAAUGGGAGAACAAGCAUCCAUUGUCUCCCCGAACCAUGUGUCAACACAAUGAAAUCCUAGUGUCGUCCGCUGUUACAUUUGGAGCUGAUUACGGAAGAGUCGGACCUUGGGCAGACGCUGCAUAUGUGAGUGUGAGCGCCGGCGCACCCACAGGAAGUCCUUGCGCAUCCACAGGAAGUCCUUGUCCCAUGAGUGUUCCUGGUGUUCAGUCUGCACACCCCAAAAGAAAGGAGGAAGACACUGAAGAUUCAUGGACCGCUAGCUGACAUCUGGAUGAGGCUUUCCCCUCAGAGAUGAAAAGUCAAGGCAUGUGGUAAGUAAGUGAAAUUAGGUUUCUCACUUUCCCAAGCUCAGAUACAUCUCAUGGCUGAAUAUUACCCGAAUCUCUGGGCCAGGCUUCCCUAGACUCUUCAAUCUCGCUCACUCCACAUUCCCAUUCAUCGCCAAGCCUUUCCAAUUCUACCUCCAAAGCCUCUGACCCUUUCCUUGCUUUCAUAGAGCCAUCACUAUUGGUUCAAGCCCUCCCCACAAGAACCCCCUUACUGAUCUCUGUCUCAAAUCUCUCCCUUCUAAAUCCACAUCAGCUGUCAAAAUGUAAGUUUUAAAACAUUGGUUGGACCAUCUCUCUCUCCUGCU
ensembl:lncRNA